rnacentral:lncRNA from 1 species
UUACCCCUAUCUCUCCCAUCUUGUUCAACCACUUAUGGUUGUUUACAACUUACAAGAAUUGAUACUAGUUCUACACUGAUUGACUUAAAUAUAAUUUGAUAUAAUUUUUAUAUUUUAUUUUAAAAUAAAAAAUAUAUAUUUAUUUAAAUUUUAAAUUUUUAAAUAUAAAUAUGUUUGGUAAAGUUAAUUAUUUUAAAAAUACAAACAUGAUG